rnacentral:lncRNA from 1 species
UCAAGCUCGGCUCAUUUAAUUUCGAGUCGAGCUCGAGCGAGCCAAAUAUCGAGUCGAACGCGAGUCGAACACGAGCCGGCUCGCUCAUUUGCCAGCCCUACACCUCUGUGGUUCAAAAAUUAUAGUUUGCCUCCCUAUAGUUUAACUCAUUUUUACUUUGCUAUCCUGUGUUUCAAGAAUUUACACUUAAUUACUCAGCGGUUUAGCGGAUUUUUAAUCUCGCCACCUAAUUUGAUAUAGAAUUUUUUAAUGAAAUAAAAAUUAAACCACUAGGAGGCCAAGUGAUUACAUAUCUUACACAAUCUAUACCUAUACAUUAUUUCUCCUAAUUUUUUGCCACGUGGCGAAUUUUCCUUUACUCUUUCUCUUCUCUCUUUCCACUCUUAUUUUCACCCAAUAUUUCAUCUUCCUAAACCCCCACUCAAUUAAUGUGUUUACAUAAUACCAUCUCCACCCAAUGCUUCAUCUUCCUAACCCCCCUAUCUCUCAAUUAAUAUGUUUAUAUGGUUUCAUCUCCAUUUCUUCAUUAUCUUUUUUUUCAUAUUGUUUUGUUUUCUCCCCCUUAUCUCUCAAUUAAUAUGUUUACAUGGUUUAAUCUCUAUUUCUUCAUAUCUUCUUUUUUCUUUUUUUCUUGGCGCACAAAAAGGGCUCAUGUUUUGUAACUUUUUAAAAUUUUGUUGUGUGUGGAUUGAAAUUAGGAUUUCGAGGAUCGCGAUGGAGCGCUGCAGAAGAAAACGGUGAUGGAUUUGGAGUCAGUGAGAGAGAAGAAGCAGUGGAUGUGGAUACGGGAUUGAUAUGGUCGUGAAUAAAGAGGAGCUGGACACUAGCGGCGAAGGCGAUGUAAAGAUCGGAAUUUGCCUCUCCGAUGUCGAUAGUGCAAUGAAGAUGUGUAUGGGGUAAAAAAAAUUUUAUUGCUUAGUUUAUUAUUAUUAUGUGUGAUUUAUUUAUCGAAAUUAUAAAUUUUGUUAUAUCUAUACCUAUAUCUAUUUUAUAUUUUAUAUUUUAUAUUUGUGUUUAUUGAAGUCCCAUAUCAAAUCAAAAAAUUUAAAAUUUUUAUUUUAUUUAUAUUUUAUAUUCUAUAGUAUCACUCCGCCGCAAUGCGCGGGUAACUUCACUAGUAGUUCAAUAGGACCCUUCUGUCAGUGGCAAUUACUAAUUGCACAGUUGUUUUAAAUCAUUUGAUAAUAUAUCUUACACAUAAUU